rnacentral:rRNA from 1 species
AUUGAACGCUGGCGGCAGGCCUAACACAUGCAAGUCGAGCGAGCGGCGGACGGGGGAGGAAUGUAUGGGGACUGCCCGAUAGAGGGGGAUAACGACAGGAAACGGUAGCUAAUACCGCAUACUAUCGGAGAAACCAGAUGGGAUUAGCUAGUAGGUUAGGUAAUGGCUCACCUAGGCGACGAUCCCUAGCUGGUCUGAGAGGAUGAUCAGCCACACGGGUACGGAGACCCGGCCCAGACUCCUACGGAGGCAGCAGUGGGGAAUAUUGCACAAUGGGCGCAAGCCUGAUGCAGCCAUGCCGCGUGUAUGAAGAAGGCCCUAGGGUUGUAAAGUACUUUCAGUCGGGAGGCGUUACCGACAGAAGAAGCACAGGCUAACUCCGUGCCAGCAGCCGCGGUAAUAC